AAUCAACGCUGGCGGCGUGCCUCAGACAUGCAAGCCGAACGAUUAAAGCUCUCUUCGGAGAGUGUAUAGAGUGGCGCACGGGUGAGUAACACGUAAGUAAUCUACCCUCGAGUGGGGAAGUAACGUCCGGAACGGACGCUAAUACCGCAUAAUGCAGCGGCACCGCAAGGUGACAGUUGUUAAAGGAGAAAUUCGCUUGAGGAGGAGCUUGCGGCAGAUAGCUUGUUGGUAAGAUAACGGCUUACCAAGGCUACGAUCUGUAACCGGUCUUAGAGGACGGUCGGUCACACUGACACUGAAUAACGGGUCAGACUCCUACGGGAGGCAGCAGUCGGGAAUUUUGGG
rnacentral:rRNA from 1 species